GGGGAUUUAGCUCAGUGGUAGAGCACUUGCUUAGCAAGCGCAAGGCCCUGGGUUCAGUCCUCA
rfam:Rattus norvegicus chromosome 2, whole genome shotgun sequence.